CUAUUUAACUUGAGUUCAAAUUGAAAAUAUAAAAUAAGCUAGGGACUACUAAUUAAAUUUCUCUUCUAAAUUGACUCAGCCACUUGUAUUGGACCCAAUUAUGUAAUCACUCAUCCAAGCUGGUGACUUGGUGCGUCUGCUCGGUCUGGGGCCGUUGUUUGAACCGGCUGGUUCUUCCCCUAACGUUCUUGGGUCGUCUUCCCCCUUUCCGGCUGGAAUUAGGUCGUCGUCUUCCUCUGCUUCCGUCUGUCUGUAUAAGUCGACGAUGGCCUGGACAUCUUCUUUAACGGCGAGAUACCCCAGCGGCUUCGUAUCAUCUCUUCCCCCUUCAGAAUCGACCUUGUCCUCAAGGUUGAUAGCUGGAAAAAACUUCUGGAUGUCUUCGACGGCUUCCCAAGAAGCAUCUUCAGGUACAGCACCACUCCACUGGAUUAGCACUUGCUGUUUCUUUUUCUUGCCUCCUUGUAGAAUUGACCUGUGAUUUAGUAUUGCCAUAGGAUAGAUUAUAGGUUUAUUAUCAAUAGAAAUUAGGGGUUCUAUUGAAUCAGGGUUUUCAGGUGGAGAGCCACUGAAUUUUUUUAGUUUUGAGACAUGAAAUGCCGGGUGAAUUCUGCUCUCUGUGGGGAACUCCAGAUGGUAGGCCACUUCAUUGAUUUUUUUUGAAAUCUUGUAAGGUCCAAAAUACUUCUUCCCUAAUUUGUUAUGUAAUCUGUGAGCGACAGUUGCUUGUCUGUAUGGUGUUAACUUUACUAACACCCAAUCUCCCACCUCAAACGAGAUGUCUGCCCUUCCUUUGUCUGCUCGAAUCUUCAUUCUAUUUUGUGCCAAUUCUAGAUUAUUUUUGAUUUUCUGUAAGGUCUCCUCUCUUAGUUUUAGAUUUAUGCUAACAGCCUCCAGUGUUGAGUCUCCUUCUGUGAAAUGUGGAAUAUCAGAUGAUUCCUUCCCAUAGAGAGCCAUAAAUGGUGUCAUGCCUAGAGAGGAAUGAAAACUAGAAUUGUACCAUAAUUCAGACCAAGGUAACUGUUUCAACCAAUUUCUAGGACAGUCAUGACAAUAUGAUCUUAGAUACAUUUCUAAGGUCCUAUUUACCACCUCUGUUUGCCCAUCUGAUUGUGGGUGAUAAGCAGAUGAAAAAUUCAGUUUUGUGCCAUUGAGCUUGUGUAAUUCUUUCCAAAACUUGGAUGUGAAAACCCUAUCCCUGUCAGAAACUAUAGAUGUAGGAAUGCCAUGUAGUUUGAUAAUAUCUCUUACAAAAACUUCAGCCACUUUAGAGGCAGUAAAAUUAGGAGGUAGAGCACUGAAAUGUGCAUACUUAGAUAAUCUGUCAACUACAACCAUUAUCACUGUUUUACCUUCAACUUUUGGUAAAUCAGUUAUAAAGUCCAUUGUGAUAUCCUGCCACACCUUAGAAGGUAUAGGGAGAGGCAUUAGAAGCCCUGCUGAUUUUGAAUUUUGUGGCUUCAUUUGUUGACAUGUAAUGCAAUUUUUUACAUACUUCUUGAUGGUAGAUCUCAUAUUCAGCCAAUAGAAUUGUUUAAUAAUUCUCUUCAUUGUUUUGUUUAUACCACCAUGACCUCCCAUCAGUGAAUCAUGACCAUCAAAUAAAAUUUGAGGGAUAAGAUCUGAAUUUUUAUUUACAAAAUACCUGUCCUUGUACAGCAAUGCACCAUUUCUGACUCUAUAUCCUUCCAAGCUUUUAAUUGCAGAAGAGUGCUCUUGAAUCAAUUUCUGUGAAUGGGGGUUGUUAUGAUUUUCCCUUUUUAGAUCCUCCAAUAGUUUUGAAAUGGGUCCAGUAAUUGCUAAUAAGGAUCCCGGAUAGCCCAAUGAGUUACUAGUGAAUAAUACUUCCUCUUCUUUAUUCUCUUCAAAAGAUCUUGAAAGAGCAUCUGCCACUAAAUUUUCUUUCCCGGGUUUGUAGAUGAUGCUGAAAUCAAAACCUAGUAAUUUACAAAGAAAAACCUGUUGUUCUGAGGUUUGAAUAGACUGUGUAAGUAGAUUCUUAAGGCUUUUGUGAUCAGUCUUAAUUAAGAAAUGAGAACCCAAUAAGUAAUGUCUCCACUUUCCCACUGCGGAGGUAAUAGCAAACAUCUCUUUCACGUAAAUUGAGGCUGAACUGAUUCUACCUGAUAUUUUCUUGCUGAAAAAAGAAAUAGGAUGAUUCUCUUGUGAUAAUACGGCCCCUAUGCCACUUUUACAAGCAUCAGUUUCAAUACUGAAUUGUUUAGUAAAAUCAGGGAAUCCUAGAACAGGUGCUGUCACCAUAGCUUGUUGCAACUUCAUAAAACUCUCUGAAGCUUUUUCUCCCCAUUUAAAACAAUUUUUCUUUAACAAGUCAGUCAUUGGGGCUGCGAUCUGAGCAUAGCCUCUUAUGAACCUUCUGUAAUAACCUGUAAGUCCUAAAAAACCUCUCAAUCCUUUAAUUGUUUUAGGUACCUUCCAAUCCACCAUAGCCUUGAUUUUGUCGGGGUCUGGAUGCACACCAUCCACAGCUACAAUAUGCCCUAAAAAGGUCAUAGAUUCCCUUCCAAAAGAGCAUUUAGAUAGCUUGGCCAGCAAUCUGUUUUUUCUUAAAAUUUCAAAUACACAAUGAAGGUGGUUAGUAUGCUCUUCAACUGAUGCACUAUAAACAAGUAUGUCAUCAAAGAAUACUAUCACGAACUUCCUUAGAUAUUUUUCAAACACAGAGUUCAUUACAGCUUGGAAUGUAGCAGGUGCAUUGGUGAGGCCAAAUGGCAUCACUAGAAAUUCAAAGUGGCCCUGAUGAGUUCUAAAAGCAGUUUUUUCUGUGUGAGAAGGGUGAACUCUGAUCUGGUGAAAUCCGGAUCUCAAAUCCAAUUUGGAGUAAACUGCAGAUCCUUUUAACUCGCCCAACAAUUCAUCCACAGUUGGGAUGGGAUACUUAUCCUUGACUGUUAGAGCAUUCAGCGCCCUAUAGUCUACACAUAGCCUAUAGCCUCCAUCUUUCUUCUUGACUAAUAGAACUGGUGAAAAAUAUGGACUGUUGCUGGACUUUAUAAUGUUUUGCUUCAUCAUUUCAAUAACUAAUUUCUCAAUUUCAGUCUUUUGAAACUGGGGAUAUCGGUAUGGUCUGACAUUUACCGGCUUAGAAUUGGGCUCAAGAUGGAUAAAAUGAUCGAACUUUCUCUGAGGUGGCAAUUGAGUGGGGGGUUCAAAGAUAUCACUAUACUCUUGUAUCUUUUCUGUUAGCUCUGGGUACGGUAUAUCCAGUACAGUUACUUCCUUUUCCUCCUUUUUCUCCAUGUAGCACAAAUAUACUUCCUGAGUUGAUGCUAUUAGGCAUUUGAGUUGCCCCACAGUUAAAGGAUCAUCUGAGAUCCAAGCCAGACCUUGCCAACUCACUUUGUUUCCCUUCCACAUAAAUUAAUAUUCCAUUAAAAGCUUUUCAAAAUCGAAUGUAACCGGGCCCAAUGUUUUCAUACCUUGAAUACCUAUGACCAUAUUAGCUCCUGACAUGUCAAGUAGGAAUAUAUCCAUUGUUAUACAUGUGUUUUGUAUAAAAAUCUCAACUCCCUUACAUAUUUCAGAACAAGUGAGUUUCUCCCCACUUCCCGUUGAGACAUUAAAGGGUACAAUCAAUUCAAUAGUCAAUUUUAGAGAUCUGGCCACUUCUUUUUGCAUAAAAUUAUGGGUAGAACCUGUGUCUACAAGAACACUUACUGAAUUGUUUGAAAUUACUCCCUUCAAUCUUAUUGUAUUUGAGCUAAUAUGACCUUCAAAAGCAUGGAGUGAAAUUUCUGUUUGUGUUCCUCCCACCAAAGUGGAUAUCUCCUCUACCUUUGCUUCCACUUCCUCUUGUUCUUCUAUUUCCUCCAGAAAAUUCAGAUCAGCUGAAAGUCGAAAUAAUUUGCCCUGCCUGCCUUUACAUACCUGAUUAUGAUUAGGCACAAACUUCUCUUCGCAAUUAAAACACAGACCCUUGCUUCUUUUUUCUGCCUUUUCAGCUUGAGAUAAUUUUUUAAAUACAUUCGUGUCUUCCUUAGCAGCCAAUGGAGCUUUUAAAACACUUGCCGAAUAAGUUUUAUUAGCCUGUGAAAGAGAAGAUGUAUACUUGGUACUAAAUGGCUUGUAGACUGAUGUUUUAUGCCCCCCUCUCUUUGCAUCAAGCAUAUUAGAUAUUUCCAUUGCUUCAUGUAUAGUUGCUGGCUUGCUUAAUACAACGUCAUCUUGUAAUUCUUCUUUUAAUCCAGAAAUAUACAUUUCUAGGAUGAAAUAUUCCGGCAAACCCAACACUCUUGUACACAUUUCUUCGAAUUUACUUUGAUAUUCAAUCAGGCUUCCUUCUUGUUUAAGUUUGCUUAGUUUGCCCCCGGGAAGUUGGUAGUGGAGUGUUGUGAAUUUCCUGAUUACAGAAUCUACAAAAUUCACCCAAUUUGUUAACAUGUUGCUUGCUUCCAUCCAUGCGAACCACUUCUUAGCCAGCCCAUCUAAGUGAAAGGAAACAAUCAAUAGCUUCUGGUCCUCAGGGAUUUUAUUAAAAAUAAAAUACCGCCGCACUGCAAAUAUCCAAUGCUCUGCCUCUGUCCCGUCAAACCUUGGCAUAUUCACUUUUACAUGCUUUGCUAGAACAUAAUUAGGGUCAUUCAGAAUGUUUAGGGCGUAACAGGGAUUAUCAAGGUUCACCACUGAUUUGUAAUAUUUCCCUGGUUGCUCAGUCAUUACUAACUUUUCUUCUAGAGUCUCCUGAUUGUUUUGAUCUGGAGGCUUGUUUUUAAGAUUAUUUUCGCAUAGAUCUGAAAUUUGUUUGCUUAACUGCAGGAAAUUAUUGUUGACAUUAGCUCUAAACUCUCCCAUCUCCUGGAUCUGAGACAUCUGAAGACUUUGUAGGCGAACAAAAUCCGGGUGAGUUGCUAAAUCAAAGUUUUGAUUAUUUGAAACCAUCCUGAUUGAAAAGAGGGUUCAGGAAAUAUGAAAGCACCAAAUGACACAAUCCUAAAUCCACAGAUUAACUCAAUCAAAGUUUGAGGGACCUGAGGAUAGAGGAUGCUCCGGAUCUGAAUGUCUAACGACGAUCCAGAUAUCCAAAGCAGUUCACGGCGGGGUCAACCCCUGAUAUCGAGUCUAAGCUCUGGAAGAAUGUAUGCGGUUAGGCUAUUCGCGCGAGGGCUCGAUUCGGCAGUGGAUGCUAGAUCCAGAACAAGGCAGACGGCGGCGAGAUUUUCCGGCGAAGAUCGUGACGGCGGGAUGAAGCAGAUUGAUGUAGUCGUAGGGAAAUGAAUAUGGAAAUUUUGUAAUUUUAAUUUUGAUACCUAAAAAUAGAGUUGUUUACAGCUAUUUAACUUGAGUUCAAAUUGAAAAUAUAAAAUAAGCUAGGGACUACUAAUUAAAUUUCUCUUCUAAAUUGACUCAGCCACUUGUAUUGGACCCAAUUAUGUAAUCACUCAUCCAAGCUGGUGACUUAGUGCGUCUGCUCGGUCUGGGGCCGUUGUUUGAACCGGCUGGUUCUUCCCCUAACGUUCUUGGGUCGUCUUCCCCCUUUCCGGCUGGAAUUAGGUCGUCGUCUUCCUCUGCUUCCGUAUGUCUGUAUAAGUCGACGAUGGCCUGGACAUCUUCUUUAACGGCGAGAUACCCCAGCGGCUUCGUAUCAGGGUUUUGGUACAAUAUAUAUGUAUUGCAUGCUUAUAUGCUACGAAAUGAGGACAUCCCUAGGACAAUGCCGAAUUGGGCAUUUAAUCAUGAUAACGUUGAUGACACAAUUGGAUUAUUCUCUAAUGGAAGGGUUUUGUAUCCUCAAUCCUAGAAUUCCCUUGACUGACCUUUCGAUCAGGGUAGUUUUGUAUAAGUAUACGUGCAUGUAUACUUAAUCCCCUCCAAGAAAAGUCUUCAUUUAAAGGUUUCAAAUCGUUGGAGAAGUCUUUGAAGAAGAUUUUAUUGGAUAUCCAGAUUAAUGGUGGUUGCAAUAUGUGGUUCCAUCAGCGAAUACCCACUUUUUAUCCCAGAAGGGAAUGCUCAUGGUCCAUGAUUUAUACAUUCGCAACUUCCCGGUUCUGCCUAUACCAAAAUUAAUGAGUGAAGUGAUAAUGUACUGAUAUUUUUGUAUCCACGAGUUGUUGCACGCCUUCGUGGUUUUCAAAACCUAUUGUUGGACCUGGGAGUUAUGCUCACUACCUGUCUUUUCAAUUCUAUCACUUUUUUAUUAUUUUUACUACGAGUAAAGGUGGUUCACAUACUUGUAUUGCAAAAUGUGACGAAGAACCUCUGUUUUCGCAUCUCCCAUUGAAAUAUAAAAACGGAGAAAUAUAUGUCUUCACGGCUUCUUUCCGGAAAGUCUACGCCGUGUUCAGAAAAAUAAAACUUUGCGCCCCCACAUAUGUGUUGACAAAGGAGAAACUUGAACCUUGUAUGACAAGUACCCGAACUUGAUUCCUCUGAUAUUGAGUGUAUGUCUUAUUAGUUAUCAUCCACUUUUAUUUUUUAGAGAUUCAACGAACCUAUUUCUUCUAUAUAGAAACAGACUACUGAUGGUAAUGGUGUGAAUCUGAAACCUCCACUCCCUAUGACAUGACGCGAGAAGUAAAAAAAUGUAUGCCUAAUAGUGACAUGGGCAUAACAUCUCCAAAUCCUGUUAAGAGAUAUCUUCCUACGAAAAGGAAUAUCACGCAAGAGCUACACUAGGCCCAAACGAAGAAGCCAAAACCAGGUAAGCCUCUUGUUGACACAGGAAUGUACACCAUCCCUUUCUGUCAACAAGGACUAGAGUUUCGAAACUAAAAGUCUUUGUCGAGACCCAAGUCAACUAUCCAAAUCGUCGAUUUGAUCUGCCAAAAAUCACCGAUUGGGGCGGAAAAUCGCCGAGUUGAGGAGAAGAUCGUCAGAGUCUGGUAGACUGUCAAUCUUCCCCUUUGAACUCGUCGAUUUUACCCUCAAAUCAUCAAUUUCAAAGCGUUACUCCCGUCCAGCCGAGCCAUAAUGGUUGUAACGGCUGCCAUUAUGGUCGGACGCGAUCUUCGCCAUAGAUUAUGCUCAAGCUUUAAAAACCGACGUUUAACCGGUUGACCGGUAAAAAAUUCAAAACCGCUAGCCGGUUAGUUUGAGCGGGUUUGUGGGUCAGCGGGUCGGGUCUGACCCGUACCCGACCCAAAUACCCGACCGAUUUUUUAAAACCAAAAAAUUAUUUUUAUGCCAAAAAUUUAUACAUUGGUCCAUGAAAAAAAUUAUAUUAUUUUUAAUAAAAAUUUCUCCCACUCUUAAGACUUCACAUUUGUUUUAGACAAAAUGAAUCUUUAUUUAUUGACCAACUUUCUUUGUGUUUUUUAAAUUCUAUCGAUGUGAGAUUAAAAAUUUGUAAUUAAAAAUAUUAUAAAAUAUUCUUUGUACUUUUUAUAAAUGUGUGACUAAAUAAAGUAUACAUGUGUUAUAGAGUAUUUAUUUAACAUGUACACAUUGUUAGAAUUCAAAAAGUACAUGUGUUAAAUAAAAUUAAUAAAUACUCUAUAAUAUAUGUACACUUUAUUUAGUCUCACAUUCAUAAAAAGUACAAAAAAUAUUUUAUAAUUUAUUUAACUACAUUUUUUUAGUCUCACAUCGAUAGAAUUCAAAACACACAAAGAAGGUUGAUCUAUAAAUAAAGAUUCAUUUUAUCUAAAACAAAUAUGAAGUCUUAAGAGUUGGAAGAACUUUUAUUAAAAAUAAUAUAACUCUUUUCAUGAACCAAUGUAUAAAUUUUUGGCAUAAAAAUAUAUUUUUGGCCUUAGUGAAUUUAUGAAGAAAAAAAAUUAUGAAAAUACCUCUACCGGUUAACCGGCCUAACCGGAAAACCGGUCAGCCAGAACCGGUUAUCGGUUAACCGAUUUUUAAACCUUGAUUACACCCCCAGAGGUCCUAUAAAAGGGGACAUCGGGCUCAAUCCAAAGGCAUCAGUUCCAUCCUUUCUAAAGCAUGAAUCGUGGAGAAAUCGUCGAUUUGAACACUAAAUCGUCGAUUUCCUCCUGGAAGACUUGACGCACGUUGUGGAUCUCAGAGCCUCCGACACGAGAAAGUAGCUGCUCGUACCACCACGAGCGCUGGUAGGAUAUUACGUUCCUUAUCACCUCCCCACACACAGAGAUGUCGUGUCUUAGGAGAUUCAUCAAGGUAACAACCUCCCUCAACUUCGAUAUGACGAUGCCAAGGAAAGGGAUGAUCAAGGCCGAUAUCUUCAAAAGUGCUUUUUGGUUGUGUGAAAUUGAGUCUCUCUAAUUGGAAGCUCUGGAAAUCACAAAAGGCACACUACGUCAAAUGUUCGAAGGAGAAAUCGGCGAUUACUCUGUGUAUUGUUCAAGGAUGGUGAGAAUUGAUGCCUUCGAGGUCCCUAUUUAUAGGGGCUCGAGAGGUAUGUAUAAUUCGGGGUGGAGAUCGCAUAUGGUUAUUGAUCAGACCAGGCUAUGCUCGAGAAUCUUCUAGAAGUCGACGAGUUUCCUUAGGAAAUCGGCGAGUAGAUGGGAAAGGCUAUUGUAGGUGAUUUCCCUAUUGAAUAUGACGCUUUCCUCUUUUAGUUAAUUGGUGACUUCUUCAUGGGAGUCGAAAAUAUCUGUAGAAGGAAUCUCGGGCCUUGUUUUACAUCCCUUGAGAUCUUCUAGAGUUUCGAUGUAAAGUAAACGGAACCCUAAUUCAUGUUGAUGGUAAGGACAAGUAUACGAUCUUGUAUCAUCGGUAUCCCUGUAAAAAUAGGCAAUGAGUCUUUGAUGGGACACGUUCCAUUAAAGAGCAUGUCCAUGAGGAUAUAAUUGUCGAAUGGUAUACCUUCACUCGCCCGUCGUAUCGAGUGCCCAUUGAAAUCAGGGAUACUCAGGGUUUUGUGACAACCUUUGAUUAUAAGAAUAUCCAUAACCCUACCUUUUCGAGAUAUCCUUACGCACGACCCUAACCCCACCUCCCCCAUGAUAUGAUAGAGAGAACAAGGGACGGUUCCCCAUCAGAAAGGUUCCCAACAUGACGAUGGUUGGUGAUUUGGUGGUGUACAUCCUAAAGAUAACUAACAUUGUAAGUUCACCUAGUCAUUUACCUUUUCUAAAUAUUUCUACUAAUACUAAUCCUUUUUGUGUAAAUAUCCUAUUUGGUGCAGAAGUUGCAUCUACUGAAGACGAUUACCCACCCUGGGAAGUUAUUUCAGCAGAACAAAUUAAAUCUCUAAUUAGAGAAGACCGCCGGAAUCAAAUGUUUGAUGUUUUGUCAAAAAAUAUUGCCAUGGAGUUUUAAUUUAGUAUGUCUAAAUACCAGACUUUCACCAUUAAAAAUCUACAAUACGACUUGAAGCUUUUCGGCGAACCAACACUGAGUUGGUCGAGGCAAUUUCUGCAAAGGAUAAGGAAGUCGAGAUUGAUAAAGAAAAGGUUUAUGCAUUCUACUAUAAAGGAAGAUCUAAUGUUAAAGGGAAAGAAGAUCCUUGAUCUCGAGACAAAUGUUCAAGCCAUGAAAUCUAAAGUCGGUAUCCUUCAAACGCGGGCAUGGAUUCAAAGCUAAAGGAUCUGAAGUCUCAGAAGUUGGAUCUCAACUAGGUGGCCCUUAUAAUCGAACAGAAAAUAACAUUAAUGGUGGAAAAAUAUGAACGACAGGUGGCGGAGCGGUAAGUGUUUGUUGGACGAGCAUGUGGAAGCUUUCACUAAUUUUGACAAACUAUGCUUUAAAUAUAAGGCCCCUAGUGAGGUUUCGAAGAAAAAAUGAGGCUUUGCAUGUAGCCUUAUAUUUUGGUGUUUGUAUUUUAUUUUUGAAAACAUUUGGGUCAUGUUGAAAAAACUCAUGUUGACCACCUUGCCGAAAUCUACGGAGUUGGUAAGGAUCCUGGAGAUCUGUUCAACCUCGAAAUGCGUGUAUUAUUAUCAGUUGUUAAGAGUUAAUACGUAUUUGAUUAAUUGGGAUUCUUUGGCUGUAAUGUCCUUUGUGGCAUGUCGUGCUACAAGCUGUGAAUCGGUCAACUUGACCGUGACUGCUCCCAACAUUUUUACUAUCUUGAGACUGUGGAUUUCUGCUUCAUACUCACCCAGAUUAUUUUUCGAUACUACAAACUGUAAGUGUAUCGAGUUUCGUGAAUUCUUUAGUCAGGAGCGAUGAUCUUGAUCUCAAUGCCAACACCUAUGCUAUAGCUUGAUCUAACCCUUGUCUACUUGCGUAAACUCAACUAUGAAGUCAGUUAUCGCCUAUAUAUAACUUGAUUAUUGUUGUCGGUGUGUAAUCUAUCUUAUAUUCAUUAAGCUCUAUAGCUCAUCCAGUCAGUCUCUCAAAUAUUUUUUGCUUGUGGAGAUAUCGUUUCAAAGAAAGAUGCUCUAACAAGGCUCGGGUUCGAGACAAUUCCUUAACGAACCGAGUCCGAUUCUAUAAGCAAAUUAAAAAACUUGGUUCGACUCGACUCGACUGACACACUAAAGGAUAAUGAAAUAAACAAAGAAGCUGAAGAAAGUAGUGAAAAAUAUAUAAUGAGAUCACCUAAUUAUGUAUAUUUGAACUCACCCGUUAUGCCAUCAGAAACGCAAAUAUCUACAAAUUAAGAGAAGUUGCAGACGAACGAACGAAUGAAUGAAAGGGGAACUAAAACACUAACAUCGACAUAUGCAUAACUUACAUGUUGAUUGCAGCCAAACUAAACAACUCCGAGCAAUACAAAUCUGAGAACUCCAGACCAAGAAAUAGCUUUAAAACACAUGGUAUCAGUGGUUGCCAAAUUAAUUUGCCAUUGGUACUACAUGGUAACAUGGUAGGUGCCAAUAAUUGAGUAAGCCUUGGAUUAAUGCAUCCCUCAAUUUGGUAGGUGGCAGUGAAGGAUGCUGCCCCUCAAUUUGGACUUUUUCUUAAAGUAAGUGUGAAACCGGACGGGUUUGACAAAAGACGGUCU
rnacentral:lncRNA from 1 species